GAUGAACGCUGGCGGCGUGCCUAACACAUGCAAGUCGAACGGAGUGCCAAAGACAAACAUUUCGGUGGGCGACUUUGGUAACUGAGUGGCGGACGGGUGAGUAACGCGUGGACAACCUGCCGUGUACAGGGGGAUAACAGCCGGAAACGGCUGCUAAUACCGCAUAUGCGCACAGUGCCGCAUGGCACAGGGCGGAAAACGAUAGUGGUACACGAUGGGUCCGCGUCUGAUUAGAUAGUUGGCGGGGUAACGGCCCACCAAGUCGACGAUCAGUAGCCGGCCUGAGAGGGCGGACGGCCACACUGGGACUGAGACACGGCCCAG
rnacentral:rRNA from 1 species